GGGUGGAAUUUAUCAUCCAUAACCACGUUGGUAGGGUGCUAAUGGCUGGAUCUAUUCCUCUUCAUAGUAGCAAUAUUUUCAAAUUGCAUUUAGUAGCUGACAAUCUCUUCAGAUUGUUAAAAAUUUAAUAUAAUUAUCUGAAUUAUUAUAUUUGAUAUAUUUUUUGGGUUCAUAAUCCAGAUUGCCUUGGCAAUCUAGCGAUCCAGAUUAUCUCUUAGAAGAUAAUCUGGAUUAUCAAGAAAGGGAUGGCUAUCUAAAUUAUUACUACUUUGGUAAUCUUAUAAUAAAAUUUUUGAACAUAAUUAUCCUUAUAAAAAAAUAAUCAAACAAAACCCGAGAGCUGGCAGGUUGUCUUUGGAAGCCGAUGCCGAAGCUAGAUGAUGCGAUGUU
rnacentral:lncRNA from 1 species